UGUUUCCUCGGCAGGCCUGCCUGCCGCCAGGAACCUCCUAAACUCUUUGUAUUUACAGUAUUAAAAUCUCUGAUAACUAUUUAAAUUAUCACAACUUUCAACAAUGGAUCUCUUGGUUCUGGCAUCGAUGAAGAACGCAGCGAAAUGCGAAAAGUAGUGUGAAUUGCAGAAUUCCGUGAAUCAUCGAAUCUUUGAACGCACAUUGCGCCCCUCGGUAUUCCGUGGGGCAUGCCUGUUCGAGCGUCAUUUACACCCUCAAGCUCUGCUUGGUGUUGGGCGUCUGUCCUGCCUUGUGCGUGGACUCGCCCCAAAGUCAUUGGCAGCGGUCGUGCCAGCUUCUCGCGCAGCACAUUUGCGUUUCUUGAAGCUUGGUGGAUCAGCAUCCAGUAAGUUAUUUCAUGACUUGACCUCGGAUCAGGUAGGGAUACCCGCUGAACUUAAGCAUAUCAAUAGCGGGAGGGAAAUCAUUAAUUACGAUGCAAUAGCCCCCUCGG
rnacentral:rRNA from 1 species